rnacentral:lncRNA from 1 species
AUGUGGGGAAUUGCAGCUGGUUUCUGCUACCCUGAGACAGGGGGACAACAGCAUCUCCUCUGUGGGCACCAGCUGAUUCCCUGUCUUCCAGAAGGAGAUGUCUCCCACCAUCAAGCAGAGGCUGGCCAGCACUCAGGAGAUGAAUCUGCCCGAGGUUGUCCAGCUUCAAGACAAGAGCAAGACCUCCAUCACAAGACAUGCCUCUGCAAUGGUAUUAAAUAUGAUGCCAGUAACAGAUUACAAGAAAGCAGACAUUUUAAGCUCAUGGAGAAAGGAGAUACCAACUCCCUACUUCCAAGUUGCCCAGAACUACUGAGAAAAGAGCUGAGGCUUAUCCCCAUCCAGCAUUCACCUCAUUAGUCAUUUUCCCAACUGCUCUGUUACUUUCCUUUUGUCCUUACUUCCUCUGGUAUGGUUAUUUUCUUACUGGUGUCUAAGCAUCAAAUAAAAAGAAGUAUUUGGACUUGUGUGGGACUUUG